UCCUUGGUCUUUUUCAUUCAAAACUCAAUUUCCUUAUUGACUUAAAACAUAAAAUACAUUAAAACAUUUCAUAAAAACAUGACUUUACCCUUCUAGAGGUUUCUGACAUCCGAGAUUCCACCGGACGGUAGGGAUUCCGAUACCGGAGUCUAGCCGGGUAUUACACAUUUGGUUCCAUAAAAGCAUACAGAUCAGAACACCCAAUAGUGAGUUUAUCUGACACCAUUGUGUUUGAUGUGUUAGCUUCCUGUUGUG
rnacentral:lncRNA from 1 species